rnacentral:rRNA from 1 species
AUACGGAGGGUGCAAGCGUUAUUCGGAUUUACUGGGCGUAAAGGGCGCGCAGGCGGCCUUAUAAGUCAGAUGUGAAAGCCCGGGGCUCAACCCCGGAAGUGCAUCUGAAACUAUAGGGCUUGAGUAUGGGAGAGGGAAGUGGAAUUCCUGGUGUAGCGGUGAAAUGCGUAGAUAUCAGGAGGAACACCGGUGGCGAAGGCGACUUCCUGGACCAAUACUGACGCUGAGAUGCGAAAGCGUGGGGAGCAAACAGGAUUAGAAACCCUAGUAGUCC